rnacentral:miRNA from 1 species
UGUGUGUGUGUGUGUGUGUGUGUGUAUGUGUGUGUAAUACACACACACACACACACACACACACAGCCAAACC